UUAAGUUCAGCGGGUAAUCCUGCCUGAUCCGAGGUCGAUUUCAAAGAUGUGGGCGUUGUCCGGCGGACGCACGACCGACUCCGGGGCGGUAACAAGUCACUGCGCCAGGGAGCACGGCUACGUCGCCGCUGAGUUUCGGGGGCGCCCAGGGGGCGGCCUCCAACACCAAGCUGAGCUUGAGGGUACAAAUGACGCUCGAA
rnacentral:misc_RNA from 1 species